rnacentral:lncRNA from 1 species
AAAGCUUGCACAGCAGAGGUAGGUAGUUGGCACUUGACAGGCUUUGAGAAAACGUCUCUACCGGUAAAAAGGUUUUUCUGGUGAAACUUCAGCACUUGUGCAAAACGUUUGUAAAUAGCUCCUUUUUUUUUGCUAGGGGAUAGGGGAAUGUGGGAAGCCAGUGCAAGACAUUUUUGCUGGCUCCCAGUUUAUUUUUGCGAAAGGAUUUAAGUUUCUUCAAGCCAAAGUCAUUUUUUUUCCUUUUAAGCGUUUGUAGUGCUUCAGCGCCAAGCUAGUGGAGAAAGAACCCUCCUAAAAGGGCCAACUAAUUGAUAGUCAUAUGUUCCACGUACAAGAGAAACAUUGUUAUGUAGUCCUCAUAUCAGAGACAGUCAACCAGUCAACGGCUUGCAUAGAUGCCAUCUGUCUUGCUAGAACAGCUUUAUGCUCACUGGCUUAUGGGAU